rnacentral:rRNA from 1 species
GAUUAGUAUAAACGAGUGGCAAACGGAUGACUAGGAUGUUAUAAUUUGAGGACGUUAUAAAUACGAAAGAUGGGCAGAGAAGGUAUGAAAGCCCAUUUUCCAUAAGUAAACCUAAAUUCUAAACCCUAGGAAUUGAAACAUCUUAGUACUAGGAGGAAAAGAAAUCAAGCGAGAUUCCGGGAGUAGUGGCGAGCGAAAGCGGAUAUAGACUAUGGAAUCCCGCCUUUAGGGGCGGGGAUGAAAUUGAAAACCAAAGAGGGUAACAGGCCCGUAGAUAAAAUCGAUGAUUCCGUAGUUCUUGGAGUAGAACUAUUUGAAGAAAGGUGCUCCAUAUAUCUAAAACUAAAUAUUAUAACAUACCAAUAGUGAAUUAGUACUGUGAAGGAAAGUUGAAAGAGAUAAUAGUGAAAUAGAGCCUGAAAUUUGCCAUCUCACAAGCAGACGAAAUUCGUUGUACCUUUUGUAUAAUGGGUUCGCAAGAUAAAUAUUUGGCAAACUUAAGUUAAUAGACGUAGGUGUAGUGAAAACGAGUUUGAAUAGAGCGUUAGUCAAAUAGAGCCCGAAACCAAGUGAUCUAGCCAUGGGCAGUUUGAAACCCGUUUAAUAGCGGGCGGAGGAACGAACCGGUGAUUGUGGCAAAAAUCUCGGAUGACCUGUGGCUAGGGGUGAAAAGCCAAUCGAACUUGGAAAUAGCUGGUUUUCUGCGAAAACUAUUGAAGUAGUGCGUCAUAUGGCGGGAUAUCCGGGACGCAUCGGACCGACAUAGUCGGUCCGACGUCCUCGGAUAUCAGGAUAUUCUUACACAGUAAAGCACUGAAUGGGUUUAGGGGUUAGGCCUACUAAAUUCAACCAAACUAUGAAGGUGUAAGGAGAAAAUAUGAUAGACAGACAGUGGGCGAGAAGGUCCAUUGUCAAGAAGGGAACAACCUAGAUCAGAAGUUAAGGUCAUAAAUAUAAUCUAAGUGUAAAAGGGAAUUUGUAAAUUAAGACAAUGAGAAAGUAGGCUUGGAACCAGCCAUCUUUGAAAGAUUACGUAACAGUUCACUCAAUAAAUUUAUAGAUCCCAAAAAUUCUGGUGGCUUAAGCUUGUUAAACCGAAACUCUGAAUAAAUACCAGAAGGGGCGAGGCCCCGGUGGCUUAUAGUGGUAGCAGAACGUACUGUAAAUAAUAACCAUCGUAAGGCUAUAGCCGAUGGUUGGUUAUUGCGAAAGCGUUUAUCAGGAGUGAUAAUGCGAACAUGAGUAAAAAACAGUGUGAGGAUCACUGCUCACGGCCCAAGGUUUCCAAUCAUAGGAUUAUCCGGAUUGGGUUAUACAGUCCCUAAGAGGGCUUUAUAGUAUUCGGCGCCGACGGUAUCAGGCCCCACAGGAGCCUGUGCCUCGGUGCUAUUUCGAUGGGAGUAUUUAAUAACAAGUGUCUAAGAUAUUAUAAGAACUUAUUCAGGGUCGUAAGACCCUAGGCUGUACUAAAACUAACACCAGUGGGCAUAAAAGUGAUGGUAUAAUUUAUCUUAAGGAACUCGGCAAAAUGUCCCUGUAAGUUCGCAAGAAGGGGAGCCAGCUAUAGACAGAGGUAACCUGGACUAGGUUAUCUAAUUUGACUGGUCUCAGAAAAGAGGGGGUGUCGACUGUUUACCAAAAACAUAGCUUCCAGCAAAGGGCCAAGGGCCUGAAGUAUUGGAGGUGAGGCCUGCCCAAUGGUUGUAUCUAAAACCAAGUAAUAAAAAAAGUUAGCUUGGGUAAGGACAAUUGAAUGGCCGCGGUAAAUCUGACCGUGAUAAUGUAGCGCAAUCAAUAGCCAAUUAAUUGUUGGCAAGUAUGAAUGGCUUAACGAAUGCCCCGCUGUCUCAAGAUAAAAACCAAUGAAAUUGAAUUCGUAGUGAAGAUGCUACGUAUAAAUUGUUAGACGAGAAGACCCCAUUGAGCUUUACUGGAGACUUAUAUGGUUCUUUACCAAUUAAUUGUGUAGACUAUGUGGGUAAACCCUCGCGUAUGCCGGCACGGAAGCUACGCUUCCAUGCCGCAUGGGGUUAUAAUGAAAAACCACUCUUUAAUUAUAAAAAGAACUAAAAUAAUGGAAAGGUAUAUGUCAGACAGUUUGGUUGGGGCGACCGCCUUCUAAAGAGUAACGAAGGCGUACAUAAGGUUAAUAAUAUAAUAGUAUAAAGUUUAAAGCCUGACAGUAAGGAGGACGUCCGAGCUGACACGCCGUAGGCAGCUGCGGCUGGCCUAUUCCGUGGGUUAUAAUGACCCGUUAGCUUAGAAUGGGAUAGCUAACGAGCAACGAAUAAAAGUUACCAUGGGGAUAACAGCGUAAUAUCGUUUGAGAGUUCAUAUCGACGACGAUGUUUGCGACCUCGAUGUUGAAUUGCGGGAUCCUGGAGGUGCAGCCGCUUCCAAGGGUUGGACUGUUCGUCCAUUAAAGCCGUACAUGAUUUGAGUUCAGACCGGCGUGAGCCAGGUCGGUUUCUAUCUACAAUUUAUGUAGGAAACAUUAGAUAUAACUAUAUUCUAGUACGAAAGGACCGAAUGAUUAGUUAUCCGCUGGUGAACCAAUUGUAGUUAAUCAAGGUCGAUGGCGAGGAAGCUCCGCUUCCAUGCCGCCUGAAGUAUUACUGUUGGGUGGCUACGAUAAUUAAAAUAAUCACUGAAUGCAUCUCAAGUGAGAAGUUAAAUAUCAUUCUAUGUUUCCAAUAUAUAGACUGUUUGAGAAUAAAACGUGGAUAGGAUCUGUGUUUAUUGGCUUCGUCUUUCAGAGUUGCAGGCCACGAAGCUAAAGAUUACUAAUGGUCUAAUUUACUAAUCAU